UAUAACUGGAAUAAUGUUAAAAGCGGCGUUAAACCUAACUCACUCACUCACUCACUCACUCAUAGAACGUGAUACAGCACACAACAAAAUAUGCAACAUCUUAAAGAUUUUGAUGACGCAGCUACAUGUUUUGGUAUUUUUUCCGUAAUUAGCUAUUAUCAUGUGUGUUGACACACGUGCACAAACGUAAAGUCCAAAGAAUAAGCCGAAAGUAGUACUUCACAUCAACGUUAACUGUGAGGCCUGAGUGAUUGGUAUGUCGGCCUAUAUGUUUACCAACUGUGAUAACACCGUUAAUACAGCAGCAUUUUCCAAACAACUAUAUGCAAGUACAUACUUUGUGUAUGCAUGCAGAUUCAUACACCAGAAGACACACAAUGCAAACUGAUCAUAAAUCAAAUAUUUAAGUCAAAAAGAAUAUUUAACGAUAUUAUUACAAGAAUGUUAUUCAACUUGACGAAUAUGUAUCAAACUCAACCUGCAAUCCAUUCAUAGUGUAGCAUCAUGUAUUUACAUUUUAGUCAGACUUAAUGAGAGAGUAUUGUCAUGGCGCGUGACGCCUUGUCGGCGUUAUAGUCCCAUUCUCCUAAUUAGGGUUGAAAAACAGAAAUCCGCGGGUUCUUCGCAACUUCUCCAUGGAUUGUCCGCGGAUUAUUCGCAAUUAUACUGCAGAACACAUAACAAUCUUUUACGUUCUAAUAUACCCGCUUUGCUUAACUUUGCAAGCUUCGCUUUCAGUUGGAGCAUGCGCAGAUAUAACUAUAAACGAAGAUAUCGCAAUAUCGCUCUAUCUUCUAUCACCAUAUUUUGUCGUGUUAUCGCAAUAUCGCAUCAUACAAACGCUUUGUCGCAAAAUCCCAUUAUCCCAUGGAUAUCUCAAGACGACAUGGCGAUGACCCCUCUAAGUCUCCAUAGUUCAGGUUAUUUCAGUUCAGCACUUGUGCCAUGUAAACUCUCUCCUCAUCGGUGCGCAUUUAAUGUCUAAGCCAAUCAGAGUUGCUGAUACAACGAACCGACAUGACGUGAAGCGACCGGCCCACUGCCGGCCUACCAUCGGUGCAGACGGCAGCAUUGUCAUUUAGCAUCAACGUUAAUACGACUACAACGUGGCUGCUGCGACAGAGAAGUUCCUGUAUAGAUUCAUCAUUCAGCUGAUAUUUUUUAUUCAAUUUCCACCAAGUCACCUCAGUGGAGCCCCUCGCAGCUAAAACCUUCUUGGAAGAGUACGGCGACCUGAGGGAAAGCCUAAUCGAAUCAACAAAAUACAAUUUCAAAGUGAGACCUAAAAAUGAGACCUUCAUCAACAUUACUCUCGACUUCAGAACCCUGAACA